AUCUGUCGAUGAUCUCACUCCUCCUCCCAAGGGAUCGUCGGCCCGAACAGCGGCACUCCUCCUCCCAAGCCGCUUGUUCAUUUUUCGGAAAAGCUGCCGCACCUCCUCCCGCGGCGGGCUUUUUCG
rnacentral:sRNA from 1 species